rnacentral:rRNA from 1 species
AUUGAACGCUGGCGGCAGGCCUAACACAUGCAAGUCGAGCGGAGCGGCGGACGGGUGAGUAAUGCCUAGGAAUCUGCCUGGUCGUGGGGGAUAACGUCCGGAAACGGGCGCUAAUACCGCAUACUAUCAGAUGAGCCUCGGUCGGAUUAGCUGGUUGGUGUGGUAAAGGCCUACCAAGGCGACGAUCCGUAACUGGGCUGAGAGGAUGAUCAGUCAAACUGGAACUGAGACACGGUCCAGACUCCUACGAGAUGGAGCAGGGGGGAAGAUUGGACAAUGGGCGAAAGCCGGAUCCAGCAAGGCCGCGUGUGUGAAGAAGGUCUUCGGAUUGUAAAGCACUUUAAGUUGGGAGGCGUUACCAACAGAAUAAGCACCGGCUAACUUCGUGCCAGCAGCCGCGGUAAUAC